CACGGGGGUCGGAUUGCUUCGCGAAUUUGGAAGAAGGGUCAAGAGCUGGAUUUGACCUUUGCUCUGAGCUUCCUGGUAACCCGGACGUUCCGUAAACCCCGAGGCAGAGCUGAAAGCGCUGUUCAGAUCCCCGUUCGGAUUUCAUUCUUUCAGCGUUUGCCUUUUGAACGCCCUUUUCCGAUAGGAAGUUUCGCCUCUGUGGAUUCCUGAAGGACUGUUGGGAAUUGGGACGGGCGUAGGGUGAGGAAUGAUACAGCUACGUUCUGGAAACGGAAAGAUCACUGCUUACCAAGCGAAGAAUGGAUUGAAAGGACAAAGUUAGAGGCAAGAAGAACAAUGGAGAAACUCAUAUCCAGGCAAGAGAUGGUGAUCUGUCCUAGGGAAGGAGUGCAGAUAGAAAGAAAUUGAACCUAUUAAAUGGGUAAGGUGGCCUAGAGGAGGGAUACAUGCAUAGGAGGGAUGGGAGGAGGAAAAGAAGCUGUUGAGAGAAUACUGAGAAGGGCCAAACGGAAGGAAAAGAGGAUGAUCAGGAAAGAAGUAUCAAGGAAACUGGUAAAAAUGUUAAAUAUAACCGAGAGAUCAGGUAAGAUGUACACUAAAAUGUGUCCAUUAGAUUUUGCAACAAGGAGAACAUUUAAUAGUUUGGAUAAAACUGUGUCAUGGAUGUGGUGGUAGAAACCAGAUUGAAUUGGAAAAGCACAAUGUAUAAAGAAUUUUUUUCAUAGUUCUUGACUGUAAGAAGGAGGCUAACAGGAUGUUGCAUAGGGAGAAUUCCAAAGAAAAAGUUUUAGGUACCUGUAAGAUACCUAGAUAGAUAUGUCCUACUGACAGUUACUGUACAGAUCUAAAACUUAGUAGAAAAAUACAUUAAGUGGGAGAAAAAGCAAGUGCAGAAAAAAUUAACUCUGAAAAGUGGGCCUGGGAGGGAUGACUUAUACUUUUUAUUUUACACCAUAUUAUUGUUUAAAUUUCUUUUACUCUGUACAUAUAUUACUUUCCUUUUUCUUUGCUUUUUUUCUUUUUUUUUGAGACAGUCUCACUUUGUCACCUUCAGUAAAGUGUGACAGGGUAGAGUGCCCUGAUGUCACAUACAUACUUUCAUAGAAAACAUUUUGUGUGUGUGUAUCGCUCUGGGUAGGGUAACAUGACAUCACAGCUCACAGCAGCCUCAAACUCUUGGGCUUAAGCGAUUCACUUGCCUCAGCCUCCCAAGUAGCUGGGACUACAGGCGCUUGCCACAAUGCCCGGCUAUUUUCAUUGUUGUUGCAGUUGUCAUUGUUUAGCUGGCCCAGGCCGGUUUUGAACCCACACCCUUGGUGCAUGUGGCAGGCGCCCUAUCCACUGAUCUAUGGGUGCUGCCAUAGAAAACAUUCUUAAAACUGCUGUAAUGUGUAGGACAGAAAUUCUGAAGCAUCAACAUAUCUGUGAUAGUUGAAGCCAUAGAUUUGGAUUUGCUCCCCACAGAACAGAGGGCUCAGAAGAGUGCUCUGGGGAAUUCCAACAUUUAAGGCACAAGUGGAAGAGAAACCCUUGGAGAAUCUUUGAAAGGGACAAUGAGGCUCGGUGCCCAUAGCUCAGUGAGUAACGGUGCCAACCACAUACACCGAGGCUGGCGGGUUCGAGCCUAGCCCUGGCCUGCUAAACAACAAUGACAGCUGUAACCAAAAAAUAGCCAGGCGCUGUAGCAGGCACCCAUAGUCCCAGCUACUUAUUUGGGAGGCUGAGGUAAGAGAAUCACUUAAGCCCAAGAGUUUGAGGUUGCUGUGAGCUGUGACACCAUGGCACUCUACUGAGGGUGACAGUGAGCCUCUGUCUCGAAAAAAGGGGGGGGACAAUGAGUAAGAAUAAAAACUAGGAGAGAAAACAGAACAAAAAAACUGGGACAGGAUUUGUCACAGAAUCAGAAAGAAAGGAGAAUAUUUCAAGGGAGUGAAAGUUGUCAAUACUGUCAGAUAUCCCCCUGAGGGGCAGCUAAUGGGAAAGGUGCUUUUAGCUCCAGGCUCUUGGAAGCUUGGCACAAGAGUCAAAUCCAGAUUGUGAACCUUCCCCGUAAGUGUCAAUAGACAAUCCAGUCUCCGUGCUAUUGUUUUUAUACUUUAGACACCUAGCAGUCUUGACACUGUGGUUCCAGUCUGUCAGUGGGACUUGAAGUCCAUACCAGCUGGCUCUCGCAUCACCAAUCUUACCACACACAAGAACACUACUCUCUCCCAGUCCUUACUAAGACCCUGAAGGCGCUAUCGAGAAAACUUAAUUUUCUAGAAACAGUGAUGUUAAGGAAUUGAAAGUAAGAGUAAAAGUUGAGGUCAAAGAACUACUUUGCCAGCCUGAGCCAGAGUGAGACCCCCUAAAAACUAGUGAGAUCUCUAAAAACUAGGUGGACGUUGUGGAGGGCACCUGUAAUGUCAGCUACUUGGGAGGCUGAGGCAAGAGGAUCACUUGAACCCUAAAGUUUGAGGUUGCUGUGAGUUAAGAUGCCACGACACUCUACUAAGGUGACAUAGUGAGACUGUCUCCCCCCAAAAAUUGUACAGCUGGGCGCCUGUAGCUCAGCGGCUAGUGCACCAGCCACAUACACCAGAACUGGUGGGUUUGAAUCCAGCCUGGGCCUGCCAAACAACAAUGACAAUACAACCAAAAAAUAGCUGGGUGUUGUGGGGACGCCUGUAGUCCCAGCUACUUGGGAGGCUGAGGCAAGAGAAUCGCUUAAACCCAAGAGUUAGAGGGUGCUGUGAGCUGUGACACCGGGGCACUCUGCCCAGGGCAACAUAGUGAGACUGUCUCUCAAAAAAAAAAAUUCUAUUUUGUGGGUUUUCCUAAAAUCUCCGCAGGAUGAUAGUAAGACCACAGAGACUAUUUGAGAAGUACUGAAGACCUCAGUAAGUAUGAAGGCUGAAGGGCAGUGGAACCAGAGAGCAUAAGCUUCAAAAGGGGAAGCAUCUUUGGAAGAGCACAGAAACACAAUAGCCUGGAAGUUAGCAUUGAGAACCUAAAGAGAAGGUUUAUGUCUUGUUAUCCCUUUCUGCAACAGUGGGAGAAUGAACACCUCUACUUUAGAAGAUUGAAAGGAAGCGGUAUUGGUCAGAAAAAGCCAAAGUUAACCCACCUCUGACAAUUUUUGGCUUCUGUAUCCCCUGAAACACUUGUUCCAUUAUCAACAACCUCCUUUGUAUCCUCAUUUUCUUCACAGAUUGCUCCUCAGUUUUUUCUAGAGGAAUAAUCUUCAGGACAGAAGUAGCAGUGAUGUAUGUAAUGGGGAUGUGCCCCACAAAAGAGGCAGACACAGGCUCAACUUAAAGUUGAAUAUUGUUUUCCCUCUGUAUCCACACCCUGAAGUGGUUAGACACCUAGCAGUCUUGAUACUGUGGUGCCAGCUCCUUUCCGUGACCACACCUCUCCUCUCCACACCUAACUCACCCCCAUUUCGAGGAUUAGACAAGAGAAUCUAUGCUGACUGCCUUCUUAGUGUAGCAUAGCGUCCAUUCUGCUCAUUGCAGCCUAUAAAAAACUGCUUCCUUCACUCACAAUGGCAAGAUGAAGGGCUGGGAUUUCUUUAGGCCUUCCAAAUUAAUCCUUUCUCUACAAGGCUCAUAGACUCAAUCCUUUUCCUUGGGACCCGAACUUAACCACAUUUUCCAGAUUCCAAACAUUGGGAUAAUUGCCUGGCCAACUGUUCCUAAGCUAGUCAGUCCAUAUGGAGGGAUAUUUUCUUUUUGGAAAGCCCUAGAAGUUCACUCAACAUGAAGCUUUGAGAUCCCCUCAGCCAAUAAAGAGAGCUGGGCAGAUUUCCUGAGCUGAAAUGGAGUACAAUACCAGCUAAACCAAAGGGGCCUGUGUAGAAAUGGGCAUUCUCAUGCCUAUCACUGAUAAAUAUUAAGGCUAGGCAUGGUGACUCAUACCUGCAAUCCUAAUACUUGGGGAGGCUGCAUGAGGAUUGCUUGAGAUCAAAAGUUCAAGAACAGUCUGAGCAACAUAGCAAGACCCAUCUCUACAAAAAAAAAAAGGUAAAUCCGCUGGGUGUGGUGGCACACAUCUGUACUUCAACAUACUAGAGAGGCUGAGGCAGGAGGAUGCUAGAGCCCAGAAAUUUGAGUUUGAGCUGUAAUAAUGCCACUAUGCUAUAGCCUGAGUGACAGAGCAAGGUCCUGUCUCAGAAGAAAAAAAAAAUUUUCAAACCACUUAGGAUUUUUUGUUAGCCAUAGCUUGACAGCUGUUCCUCCUUGACUUAAACUGUAUGUCAUAUAUACAGUCAUAAUUUCUUAGGCCAGGCACAGUGACUCAUGCCUAUAGUCCUAGCACUUUGGGAGGCUGAAGCAGGAGGAUCCCUUGAGCUCAGAAGUUUGAGACCAGCCUGAGCAAGACCCCCGUCUCUAC